AUCCAACUGACGAGUCCUAAAUAGGACGAAACGAGUGUUCACUUUUGAU
rnacentral:hammerhead_ribozyme from 1 species